UUUCCGUAGGUGAACCUGCGGAAGGAUCAUUAAAGAGUAAGGGUCCUCUAGGCCCGACCUCCCAACCCUUUGUUUACCAAACCAAUGUUGCUUCGGCGGGCCCGUCUUAGGACCGCCGGAGGACCGUCGAAACGUCCUCUGGCCGGCGCCCGUCGAUGGCCCUUAUUAUUAAACUCUGAACCAAACGUGUCCUGUCUGAGUGAUUAUUAUCAAAAUUAAAGCAAAAACUUUCAACAACGGAUCUCUUGGUUCUG
rnacentral:misc_RNA from 1 species